UCUGUCCAAUUUAUCAGAGGUGUCACACGGAGAAAGAAAAGCCUUUUAUAAUAUUUAUGCUAUUAUCUCGCUGGCCCAAUUCCCUGCAGUGACGUCAAUUAGAGAGAGAAAUUACCAACCGCAACACAAUUGACGCGUCGCAAUAAAUUUCAUCAGACAAAUGUUGCGCUCUGAGGCGGAUCGCUACGUAAAGUAAAUUGGUGCUUGUCCAAAUCUUGACUGGCUGUCUGAGUUAGGAGAAGAUUCGUCACGGAAUCUCCCGACGGCACGCGCCGAUGAUCAAUCUCUGGUAUGCAUGGAGUCAACGAAAAAGAUUGAGUCUUGUUUGUGUGUUAGACCGAAAUAUAACAUAGCCCACGUUAGCGGAAUCUAGGUUGACCUCGGCCACGAUAUGACACUCGGGAAGACCGCCCAAAGGUAAGUUCGUAAAACUCCCAUGUGAAAUCAAGCGCAAAUUGUCCUCGGUGGAGAAAGUCGACAUGCUCCCUUUUGUGAGCGGAGCCUUCAGUCAACUAAAUUGCUCCUCUAACGGCACGGCAGAGCCCGCUCGAAUGUUAUUCUUCUCUGUUUAUUGAGCGUUCUUCAGAGGAAAGAUGUCGUGUUGAUUCUGCGAGUGUUUUCCUUGCAGACUCUGUUGGCUUUUAUACCUUCAAGGUGCCCUUUUAUGACAAACGCGCAAUUCAUAACUCGGCUCGCGGAUGAUCACUUUUCGUGCAACUUGGGGAAAAAAAAAAAUUCGGCAGGCGCAGAGGCACCACGCCACCUGAACAAGAUGCCCUGCUGGUGUAAAGCGAGGGAGGCGUACUGUGGGGAGCCCCAAGUGUGCGUGUGUGGAUCAAUGUUCAACACGCGUACUUAAGCACCAACCGCUUCAUCGGCGGUUGUAAUGGGGUUAAAUAGCUCCGCUCCGUCCAUGGCGAGGAUCAAGGAAAACCCGAAGCCGGGCUUGAAGAAGAGGCCCAAUCGAUGGUAAUUGGAUUCAGUUAAAUGGGAAUUGACCAAACAGAAGCUUAGAAGGAUAACUAGCAAUUUGCUCCAGUGCGUCCCGGAGUCACAAAGCUUGGAUUGAAAGCGACCACGUUGCGCUGUCCGUUGGUCGGUGGGACCCGGUGCCGGCCUCACCGACCAGGGCCGUUUGAUUAUGUCGCCGGUCACCAAUUUGAGCGAAAGCCUUGGAAGACGAGCCAGUGUAGACAUCAGUUCGGAUGCGACGCCGUGCCCCGAAGCCGACAUGAAGGCUCACUUACAGGAUGUGCAGCAGUGACAAACCUUUAAAGAGCCUCCGAAGCGUCUCCCUAAUGUUCCCAGUGAAAGCGCUGACCUUCUUAACUAUGCAAUGGUGUUCUCGCAGGUGACAGGAUUGGGAAAAGGAGGCCGUUGCCCCCCCAUGGGGGAUUGCUGGCAUAUGCCAUUUAGUCACGACAUCAAAGUCCUGCAGCAGCUCCUCAGGAGCACCCCGGGUUUUGGUCUCCUUGCCUGCUGCCGGCGAAGUGCGUCCCACUGCAGAGUUCCCCCAGCGCAAAUUGUGUGUUUGCAUUAGAAGCGGAACAAAUCAGCAUCAUUGCCUCAUUUGCCAAAACAGACUUUCAACAAUGAGACAAAUUACUUUGGCGGAGCUGUUAACGUGUCACUAACCAAUGAGGCUUUUCAUGAUUUAUUCCGAUUUUCUGCAGCGUUCGCAGUCCGUAUCAUCCAUUUACAGCGACGUCUUAAUUAUCAUUUGGAAAGAAGAAGGAGAAGAAGAAGAAGAAGAAGAGUUGGGGGGGCUGCCGUCUCUGUUAUGGUUAUGAUGUCUGUUUAACAUUACCUCAGACCUGGUCAAUUGCAGAAGGGCUGAAUGGGGGGCCCCAGGCUUCGAAGCUCCUAAUUGGAAACGCAUGUGCGCCACGCUGUUGAAAGUUUUAUUUAAAAGCCAGAAAGAUCUCACACUGCAUCAUUUUAACCCCCCCAAAAAAAGAA